UCUCUGGGCGAUGAGGAGUUCGUCGCCUACGUCCUCACCGGCCUUGAUGAAGAAAUCUACAACCCGCUUGUGUCGUCCAUCGUCACUCGCGUCGAGCCAAUCUCCCCUGCUGAGUUAUACUCGCAGAUGCUUAGCUAUGAGC
rfam:Dichanthelium oligosanthes cultivar Kellogg 1175 unplaced genomic scaffold Do_version_2_scaffold2162, whole genome shotgun sequence.